rnacentral:misc_RNA from 1 species
AAAAGAUCUAGCCUGAGUUGGUGGGCAACCAUAGAGAACAUAAUUGGAAUUGGAUGAUCAAACAAUUUCAUGAGUAGCUAUCAUGCACUGAAUAUUCCAAAAGGAUAAAGGAUAAUGGCAUCUAAUCAAACAUGCCACCCCACCUCCUCUGUGUCUAAAUCUUUAAUCAUUUAUAUGAAUUUUAAGUUUGAAAGCAAAUGUCUGACACUCUAUUAUUAGAUUUACAAGUCCAAUGAUAUACCUUCCCUGUUCUUCAGCCGUGUCUGAUGUCUCUAAUUGGGAUGUGAAGGCAUCUUCAUUACAAGAGGGCAUUUUCCAUCAGGGAAUUCUAUGGAGUGGCAAACCUGAAAAGGAACCACUAGAAAGAAAGAACAUGAGCCCUCCAAGUGAGCUAUCAUGGGUUGAUCAUAAACAAAUAAAUGUUUAAUGUCUAAGGAAGUCCAUUUUUUUAAACUAAUGAAAUUACAUGGGACACCUUCCAAAUAAAAUUUAACAUCAAUUAGAAACCUAGGAUAAACUUACACAAGCAAAUAUUAAAAUACCAAGAACAUCAUUGAAGAUUACUAGAGUUUGACGCUCCUCCAGUUUUCUGACUGUAAUUACAAGAACCAGAAAUAAGAAAAGAGAAUGAACUUUCUGAAUCAUCAAAUGGAGGUCAAGGAUACUCAUGAAAUCCACCAAAAUUACAAGUAUCGAAGUUCAAUGGCGAGAAAUAACUAGCAGGAUCAUCAACACCCACCUUCACAUCCAUAAUAUUCUGAGCUCCACUUCCAGUAGCAUCACUGGAGCCAAAACUAUAAUUUGUACUUCCAACCUUGUUUGAUACAUCAUUUUCUUCCCCUUUAUCAGAUGGCCCAGAAGAUAGUCCUUUCGUUUCAUCACGCGGAAUAGCAGGAGUAUGACCUUGGAAGAGAGCAAUGUGCCCAAAAAGCUUGUCUUUCCUUGAAAAAGUUGUACCACAUGAACAAAGCCAUCUAUCCUUGCCACAAUGCUUCUCAUGAGUUUUGAGGUCUGCAAUGACUGAGAAUUUCUUGGUGUUGCAUCUACUGCAAGUGUAGCUCUUGUCACAAUGAGUUCUCUUAUAAUGAUUUUUGACACACAAAAUAGUCUUCAAAGGCUGAAACUUUUUGUGAUCCUUGUUCCGCCUGCAACCGGCAAAUGGACAGGAAUACCUCUUAAUGAGCACUGGCUCAGAGCUGGCUUCCUUGUUGGGUUUUGCAAGUGCUGCAGGAGUUUUGUACUCAUCCCCAUGACCUCUCAUAUGCAUCCGUAAAUUUGCAUCCCUCUUAAACCCUUUCCCACAUAUUGUGCAGAAAUGAGCAUGCGGUGCAAGGAUUUCUUCUUUUUCUAGUUGUAAGAUCUCAUAGGAACCAGGUGGAAGGUUCUCCCCUUCGUCAGCAUCGUCUUCUUCUUUCAUUUCAUGUUCUUCAAUAGAGUAGUUCUGCUCAGUCCCAUAAUUACCUGUAACAUCCAUUUGGUUGGACUGAUCAGAGACUUUAGUUCCACUACUAUGUUGUCGCUGUAGUCUACUAUUCAUGCCUGUUCCAGAGGGGAAAAGAAUCCCCCCAAGCUGUCCAAGAGGAGGAGUGGUUGCAGAAAGUGUAUGCUUCACAGAUGGAAGAAGACUACCUGAAGUAGUUAUCAAUUGUCCAAUAAUUGAAGUGAGAUCAGCCGUUAUGAGUUGCUGUUGCUGGGUUACAAGUUCUUCUGGCUGUCCUGGAACUUGACUCCUCCGGCCAACAAUCAAAUGCACCAAAUCUUGUAAUUGAUGGAUCUUUUGCUCAAGAAAAGAGAGAUUAUUAAGCAUAGCCCUUGGAUCCCAAUCUGGGAUUUUGUUGAUUUGAAGUGUUUCAUUAAUUUGACUAUUUUCUCGAUCCACUAUUUUGAUAUGAUCAUUGGGAUUGGAAGGAAGCAAAGAUUGGGUUUCGGAUUGUGGAUUGAAUUCUUGGAAAGGGGUAUCUGUCCUAAUGCCAAAGAUAGAGGUAUCUUCCCACUUCUGCUGAUGUUGAUGCGAGUCCAAAUUAUAAUUGGUAAAAGAUGGUUUCUUGGUGGGAAUGUUUUUCGCUAAUUCAUUACCAGAAGAUGAAGAUUUUGCCCACGUUUCUUGACACAGCGUGUCCAUGUGAUCCAUCAUCGAGUCCUUGCUGAGUCUCAAGACUCGGUGCUAAUCAAACCUGGAUUUUAACAGGAAUUAAAAUUUUAAACUUGGCAGAAACAUUUUGAUUGCCAGAAGACAAGUAAUCAACCCAAAUCUCAAUUAACCUGUAAUUCCCACUUUUAUGGCCAGAUUCUCUUAUUAAGAAGAUUUCAGCUAGAAUCUAGACUAAGCCAACCGUAAUCAAGCUAAAACUAUCAUCAUUUUUCGAUCAAAUGGCUAACCCAAAUCUCAAAUACAUCUAAAUACUCAAUAAACAUCAAAAGAUAUCAAUAUUGGCACAGUAGCCACAAUCAAAAGCUAAAACAUUAGAACAAAUAACACGAAAAAAGCAAGAUUUAGCAUCUGUAAUUCUGUGUACCAGCAUAUAAAGAGCAUAAGUUCUCAGAAAAAAGAAGAGGAGAAGAGAGUCUCACCAGAUUCAAGAUUGCUUGAAGUCAGACGCAGGCUGCUUCAUCUCGAAUUGGGCACAAAGGAACACAAAAAGACAGGAAUGAAAAAGAAAAUUUGGAGUGGGACUGAAUCAAUAUUAACAUAUCAGCAGCCACUACGACCAAGAAGAAUAAACUGUUGCCAAGUGCCAUCAAUUUUGUCAUUCUGAUUAGACUGAUAUAGCCCAUUUAAUCAGAACCAUUGGUGGGUCAAUCAUGGCAUUGUUGUGUAGCUUUCUGUUUUUGCUGAACAAUGAAUGAAAAAGACAAGAACAACUUUGAGGGCUGAUUUGAGAUUUGGGUAUAAGAUUGUGUAUCCCUAAUCCCAUACUUCUCAACCCCCCGAACCACACACCUCCCCCCCUCCCCCGUCCUCUCUCUCUCUCUCAGAGGGAAAUGCACGAGUGGGGUUAAUU